rnacentral:rRNA from 1 species
AUGGCUCCUACCAAGGCUGAGGCUGAUGUAGAGGAGGGAGAAGAGAAGAAGAAGAGGGAAAGGAAAGCAGCUGGAGCUGCUUUCACGUGGAUUCAAAAUAACUUUGCGACGUGCCCUCCGGAUGCCAGUGAUGAUGUGAUCCAGACACAUGCUCGUGUGUAUAUGUGGUAUGUUGUGUCGAGGACUUUGUUUACUGACUCCACUGGCAAGAACGCUCAUGGAUGUGGCUAA